rnacentral:rRNA from 1 species
UACGUAGGGUGCGAGCGUUAAUCGGAAUUACUGGGCGUAAAGUGUGCGCAGGCGGCUGAGCAAGUCGAGUGUGAAAUCCCCGGGCUUAACUUGGGAAUUGCGCUCGAAACUACUUGGCUGGAGUGUGGCAGAGGAAGGUGGAAUUCCACGUGUAGCGGUGAAAUGCGUAGAGAUGUGGAGGAACACCAAUGGCGAAAGGCAGCCUUCUGGGCCAA